GGAAUCUUCGGCAAUGGGGGCAACCCUGACCGAGCAACGCCGCGUGAGUGAAGAAGGGUUUCGGCUCGUAAAGCUCUGUUGUUAAAGAAGAACACGUAUGAGAGUAACUGUUCAUACGUUGACGGUAUUUAACCAGAAAGUCACGGCUAACUACGUGCCG
rnacentral:rRNA from 1 species